CCUACGGGAGGCAGCAGUGGGGAAUAUUGCACAAUGGGGGAAACCCUGAUGCAGCGACGCCGCGUGAGUGAAGAAGUAAUUCGUUAUGUAAAGCUCUAUCAGCAGGGAAGAGAAUGACGGUACCUGAGUAAGAAGCCCCGGCUAACUACGUGCAAGCAGCCGCGGUAAUACGUAGGGGGCAAGCGUUAUCCGGAUUUACUGGGUGUAAAGGGAGCGUAGACGGCGAAGUAAGUCUGAAGGGAAAGCCCGGGGGUCAACCGAGUAAGUGCUUUGGAAACGUUGUUGCUGGAGUACCGGAGAGGUAAGCGGAAUGCCUAGUGUAGCGGUGAAAUGCGUAGAUAUUAGGCGGAACACCAGUGGCGAAGGCGGCUUACUGGACGGUAACUGACGUUGAGGCACGAAAGCGUGGGGAGCAAACAGGAUUAGAUACCCCAGUAGUC
rnacentral:rRNA from 1 species